UCAAAGUCGAUAGCAGAUGCCUUUUUAAAAUGGGUGAUGAUGCAAAUAAGGAGCUAAUUCUAUAGAAUGUGGGGUACAAAUCUAUAUUGUAUAUGUAUGUUGUCGUUGCUGAUUCUCAAAGUGGACUCAAAAACCUUGCAAAAGAUGCGUAUAAACUAUAAAGAAACACAGCAUCACACGGCAGAAGAAGAUAGUAGAAGAUGAAGCUCAGGUUAAUGGAGCUAGUAGAGGUAUGUGUCACAAUAACAAAAAUCUGAAAAGAACAAAUGAAUUAUUGCACCACAUGCCCAAUAGGCUCUGAACUUAUUAUAUGUGAAAAUUAUGAGUCCUUUUAAAAACAGUAAUUUAUAUGUGUAGGAUUAUUGGUCUCAGCUAUACAACAAUCUUUUGAUUAACUCACAAACACUUACAAGGUUUACACUUUUUGGACUCACUAAACACUAUGCUGCAUUCACUAUCUGCUCUGUAUAUUUCAUUUCCUACAAAGUCACAAUAGCUUCAAGGUUAUUCUUCAUUGUUCUUUUUAUAAUUUGAUUCUAGUUCUUCUUCUAUCAAACCUAAAAGCUUAUAACAUCUUUUGUGUUGCCUUUAUUGUCAAGCUAUAUGGUUAUUCUAUGAAAAUAUGGACUAAAAUGUUUUUGGCAGCCUCCUUUGUCUCAGUUGAACCAUAUUAAAAAGAUCAAAAUCAACAAAAACAUGAUAAAGAAGGAUUUAUGAAGGUAAAGAUAUGAUGACAACCUUAAUUUAUUGAAGUGUUAUGUUAAGACCCUUACAUGGCAAAGCAAAGGAGAAAAGAAAGGAUCAAAGAUUUCAAAUUCCCAGAGAACACCAACUCUUGCACCCAUCACAUCCAAGAAUGUUAUUCUAUGCAUAUGGUGAAAUGAGAAUGACCUCUGUCAUACUAUUUAGUAAAAUGUUAAUGAAUAUUCUUAGAGC
rnacentral:lncRNA from 1 species